rnacentral:rRNA from 1 species
GAUGAACGCUGGCGGCGUGCUUAAUACAUGCAAGUCGAACGGAAAGGCGCUGAGUUUGUGGGGUGGUCGAGAGGCGAAGGGGGGAGUAAAACGUGAGUAAAAUGCCCUUGUAAUUGGGGUAAAUUCAGGAGACUGGGGAUAAUACAGGAUAGGAGAUUUUGAUGCGUGGGGGGGGAAGGUGAGAUUCGGCGGUUGGGUAUGGUAUAGCGGCUUAUGAGCUGGUUGGGGAGGUAGGGACUUCCCAGGGCUUCGAAGGGUAGGCGGCCUGAGAGGGUUGCCGGCCACAUUGGGACUGAGAUACGGCCCAGACGCCUACGGGAGGCAGCAGUGGGGAAUAUUGCACAAUGGCCCGAAGCCAGAUGUAGCAACGCCGCGUUCGUAAUGACGGCCUUCGGGUUGUAAACCGCUUUCUCCUGUGACGAAGAGAGAUUGACGGUAAUUAGUAAAGAAGCACCGGCUAACUACGUG